CCUACGGGAGGCAGCAGUGGGGAAUUUUGGACAAUGGGCGCAAGCCUGAUCCAGCCAUGCCGCGUGCGGGAAGAAGGCCUUCGGGUUGUAAACCGCUUUUGUCAGGGAAGAAAUCCCUUGAGCUAAUACCUCGGGGGGAUGACGGUACCUGAAGAAUAAGCACCGGCUAACUACGUGCCAGCAGCCGCGGUAAUACGUAGGGUGCAAGCGUUAAUCGGAAUUACUGGGCGUAAAGCGUGCGCAGGCGGUUAUGUAAGACAGGUGUGAAAUCCCCGGGCUUAACCUGGGAACUGCACUUGUGACUGCAUAGCUUGAGUGCGGCAGAGGGGGAUGGAAUUCCGCGUGUAGCAGUGAAAUGCGUAGAUAUGCGGAGGAACACCGAUGGCGAAGGCAAUCCCCUGGGCCUGCACUGACGCUCAUGCACGAAAGCGUGGGGAGCAAACAGGAUUAGAUACCCUGGUAGUCCACGCCCUAAACGAUGUCAACUGGUUGUUGGACGGCCUGCUGUUCAGUAACGUAGCUAACGCGUGAAGUUGACCGCCUGGGGAGUACGGCCGCAAGGUUGAAACGUCAAAUGAAUUGACGGCUGGAGACGNGCGACGGACGACGACGAGGGAGGAGG
rnacentral:rRNA from 1 species